UACGUAGGGUGCAAGCGUUAAUCGGAAUUACUGGGCGUAAAGCGUGCGCAGGCGGUUUUUGUAAGUCUGUCGUGAAAUCCCCGGGCUCAACCUGGGAAUUGCGAUGGAGACUGCAAGGCUAGAAUCUGGCAGAGGGGGGGUAGAAUUCCACGUGUAGCAGUGAAAUGCGUAGAGAUGUGGAGGAACGACCGAUGGCGAAGGCAGCCCCCUGGGUCAAG
rnacentral:rRNA from 1 species